CACUCCUACGGGAGGCAGCAGUGGGGAAUAUUGCACAAUGGGCGCAAGCCUGAUGCAGCCAUGCCGCGUGUAUGAAGAAGGCCUUCGGGUUGUAAAGUACUUUCAGCGGGGAGGAAGGCGAUAAGGUUAAUAACCUUGUUGAUUGACGUUACCCGCAGAAGAAGCACCGGCUAACUCCGUGCCAGCAGCCGCGGUAAUACGGAGGGUGCAAGCGUUAAUCGGAAUUACUGGGCGUAAAGCGCACGCAGGCGGUCUGUCAAGUCGGAUGUGAAAUCCCCGGGCUCAACCUGGGAACUGCAUUCGAAACUGGCAGGCUAGAGUCUUGUAGAGGGGGGUAGAAUUCCAGGUGUAGUGGUGAAAUGCGUAGAGAUCUGGAGGAAUACCGGUGGCGAAGGCGGCCCCCUGGACAAAGACUGACGCUCAGGUGCGAAAGCGUGGGGAGCAAACAGGAUUAGAAACCCUAGUAGUCCCAUG
rnacentral:rRNA from 1 species